CUUUUGCAAAAUUGACCCAAAAUACUAUGAGCCAUAUUAUUCCCGUGUAGCUUUUUUUAUUUUUUAAUGUAUAUACCCAAUGUCUUGAAAGGUUGAACUCAUGGAAGUAACAUUCAAAAACAUCCACUGUAUUUGAUUAUGUAAAAUGCAACUUUCUUGUGAAAAAUAUGUUUUAUUUUACUGUGAUGAGUUCAAAUAGCUCCAUCUAAGGGUUAAGCCUGCGCUGUUUGCAGGAGGAAGAUGUAUUUUUGUUAAUACAUGUAAUUCAUUCCUAUUUUGAGAUAGGGACUUUACUGGUCUUAGUCUUAUAAUAGGAAUUAUAUAUGUCUUGAAAUGUUCUAAUUUCUUUAGUUUAAAAUAUUAAUUUGGCUGUCACCUAAAUUAUGUCUUUUGGUUGGGUCAUUUUAUAUCUUUAUGAGAUUGAUUAAAAUUGCAUAAUGGGUUUGCCCAUGUGAAUUUUCUGUUUUUUCAAGAUUGAAUUUUUAGGGAAAAAGGAAGACCUAUGGUCGCUUAAGGGGCUUCCCUGGUGGCUCAGAUGGUAAAGAAUCUACCUGCAAUGUAGAAGACCCUAGUUUGAUCCACUGGAGAUAGGAAAGCCUACCCACUCCAGCCUUCUUGCCUGGGAAAUCUCAUGGACACAGGAGCCCGGUGGGUUACAGUCUAUAGGGGCUGGAGACGGUAGAACACGGCUGAGCAACUGAGCAUGCAUGAACGCUAAACCAUCACAUGACAUUCUCUGCCCUUCAUUUGCAGCAGAAGGAAAGGAAAUUACGUUGCUCACUUCUUCCUUUGUGUGCAAAAGUGAUACAAGGAGCGAGACUGUUGAAUGCAGAGAUGGCAUAGAAGAAUUCGGACAGCUGUCUUCCUUUUAUCCACUUUAAAUGGCGGUCAACUUUUGCAAGUCCUUGUAACACCGGACUGAUUCAGAGAGAAACCAAGGAUAAUCUGGGAGGUUUGCACAGCUGAUGAGUCAUAAGCUCCCAAGGGUUUCCUUUACCAAAGACAGCAAUGCUUUUAAUCUCAAAGUCUGCUUUGUAAAAUGGUGAAUGAAAUAAUGAUUUGCAGCUUUAUUUUUUGUUGCUGUUUAGAGUGGGUUAUUUAAGAAUCGCUCUUUCCUGGUUGCAAGGAGAUGGUUAUAACCAAGAAUCAAGCACACGGCUGAAGGUCGCUGAC
rnacentral:lncRNA from 1 species